UCAGCUGGGCCACUGAUCUCUGCCCUAACUCAGGCUUACCACCUUUGGGCCUGCUGCCAGAGAGCCCAUACGAAUCCCCUUCCCCCUUCAGACCUAGUUUAAAGCCCUCUCAACAAGGUCUGCCAGUUCAUGAGCUAAAAACCUUCUGCCCUUAACAGAGGGAUGUGUCCCAUCUGGUUGCAGUAGAGCAGGUCUUUGUCCAUCUGCCAGAGCAAGUGGAAUCAUUGAGUAUAAUAGUAACUUCUCAUUUCUUAAAGAAAAAUAAAAUGCAGUAAAGAAAAACUUUCUGCAGUUACCUGAGUUCCUCAAUGGGAUUUGGCUUCCUUCAUUGCUCUGCUCUUUCCUCACACUAUACUCUAAAAUGGCAUCUGGGACUGUGAGGAGGAAGUGACAUCAGAGGCAAGAUGCAAAUGCAGAAACACACCAAAUCCAGCACCUAAAAACCCCUAAAAUAGCGAGCCACCAUGAAAUUAGAUGUCGGCUAGAAUGAGGACCCUAAGCUACAGCCCGGACUUUGGAAUCUCCUGCCACUCCCAUGAGGACGGAAUCCCCAGCUCUGCCUGCAUGCAAAGUGGGCAAAGCUGCACUCCUCCUCCUCCAUGCCACUCUGGGAAGCAGCGGCGGCGUGUGCGCAACCCAUCGGGUCCCCACCCGAACCAGUCACUUUUUAAUAAAGGCAUUUUAAAAGA